AUUGAACGCUGGCGGCAGGCCUAACACAUGCGAGUCGAGCGGAUGAAGGGAGCUUGCUCCUGGAUUCAGCGGCGGACGGGUGAGUAAUGCCUAGGAAUCUGCCUGGUAGUGGGGGAUAACGUCCGGAAACGGGCGCUAAUACCGCAUACGUCGUGAGGGAGAAAGUGGGGGAUCUUCGGACCUCACGCUAUCAGAUGAGCCUAGGUCGGAUUAGCUAGUUGGUGGGGUAAAGGCCUACCAAGGCGACGAUCCGUAACUGGUCUGAGAGGAUGAUCAGUCACACUGGAAGUGAGACACGGUCCGGACUCCUACGGGAGGCAGCAGUGGGGAAUAUUGGACAAUGGGCGGAAGCCUGAUCCAGCCAUGCCGCGUGUGUGAAGAAGGUCUUCGGAUUGUAAAGCACUUUAAGUUGGGAGGAAGGGCAGUAAGUUAAUACCUUGCUGUUUUGACGUUACCAACAGAAUAAGCACCGGCUAACUUCGUG
rnacentral:rRNA from 1 species